CAGUAGCCGCGGGAAUACAGAGGGUGCAAGCGUUAAUCGGAAUUACUGGGCGUAAAGCGCGCGUAGGUGGUUUGUUAAGUUGGAUGUGAAAGCCCCGGGCUCAACCUGGGAACUGCAUCCAAAACUGGCAAGCUAGAGUACGGUAGAGGGUGGUGGAAUUUCCUGUGUAGCGGUGAAAUGCGUAGAUAUAGGAAGGAACAUCUGUGGCGAAGGCGACUAUCUGGGCCAUUACUGACACUGAGGCACGAAAGCGUGGGGAGCAUACAGGAUUAGAUACCCCGGUAGUCCCUGUCUCUUAUAC
rnacentral:rRNA from 1 species